AUUGAACGCUGGCGGCAGGCCUAACACAUGCAAGUCGAACGAGUGGCGGACGGGUGAGUAAUGUCUGGGAAACUGCCCGAUGGAUGGGGAUAACUACUGGAAACGGUCGCUAAUACCGCAUACCAUCGGAUGUGCCCAGAUGGGAUUAGCUUGUAGGUGAGGUAACGGCUAACCUAGGCGACGAUCCCUAGCUGGUCUGAGAGGAUGACCAGCCACACUGGAACUGUGAAACGGUCCAGACUCGGACGGGAGGCAGCAGGGGGGAAUAUGGCACAAUGGGCGCAAGCCUGAGGGAGCGAUGCCGCGUGUAUGAAGAAGGCCAUCGGGUUGUAAAGUACUUUCAGCGGGGAGGCGGUACCCGCAGAAGAAGCACCGGCUAACUCCGUGCCAGCAGCCGCGGUAAUAC
rnacentral:rRNA from 1 species